AGCAGUGUAGCUUAGUGGAAAAAGCACAGGCUUGGGAGUCAGAGGUCCUGGAUUCCAAUCCUGGCUCUGCCA
rnacentral:tRNA from 1 species